CCUACGGGAGGCAGCAGUGAGGAAUAUUGGUCAAUGGACGCGAGCCUGAUCCAGCCAAGUAGCGUGAAGGAUGACUGCCCUACGGGUUGUAAACUUCUUUUAUAAAGGAAUAAAGUGAGGCACGUGUGCCUUUUUGUAUGUACUUUAUGAAUAAGGAUCGGCUAACUCCGUGCCAGCAGCCGCGGUAAUACGGAGGAUCCGAGCGUUAUCCGGAUUUAUUGGGUUUAAAGGGAGCGUAGAUGGGUUGUUAAGUCAGUUGUGAAAGUUUGCGGCUCAACCGUAAAAUUGCAAUUGAUACUGGCAGUCUUGAGUACAGUUGAGGUAGGCGGAAUUCGUGGUGUAGCGGUGAAAUGCUUAGAUAUCACGAAGAACUCCGAUUGUGAAGGCAGCUUACUAAACUGCCACUGACAUUGAUGCUCGAAAGUGUGGGUAUCAAACAGGAUUAGAUACCCUAGUAGUC
rnacentral:rRNA from 1 species